rnacentral:tRNA from 1 species
UAUAUAUUAGUGUAUUAGCACAAAAGAUUUUGAUUCUUUAAGAUUUAAUUAACUUUAUUAUAUAUAA